rnacentral:rRNA from 1 species
GAUGAACGCUGGCGGCGUGCCUAAUACAUGCAAGUCGAGCGAACAGAUAAGGAGCUUGCUCCUUUGACGUUAGCGGCGGACGGGUGAGUAACACGUGGGUAACCUACCUAUAAGACUGGGAUAACUUCGGGAAACCGGAGCUAAUACCGGAUAACAUUUAGAACCGCAUGGUUCUAAAGUGAAAGAUGGUUUUGCUAUCACUUAUAGAUGGACCCGCGCCGUAUUAGCUAGUUGGUAAGGUAACGGCUUACCAAGGCGACGAUACGUAGCCGACCUGAGAGGGUGAUCGGCCACACUGGAACUGAGACACGGUCCAGACUCCUACGGGAGGCAGCAGUAGGGAAUCUUCCGCAAUGGGCGAAAGCCUGACGGAGCAACGCCGCGUGAGUGAUGAAGGGGUUCGGCUCGUAAAACUCUGUUAUUAGGGAAGAACAAAUGUGUAAGUAACUGUGCACAUCUUGACGGUACCUAAUCAGAAAGCCACGGCUAACUACGUG